GAUGAACGCUGGCGGCGUGCCUAUAAAAUGAAAGCGGAGCGAACAGAUGGGGAGCUGGCUCCCCUACGGUAAGCGGGGGCGGGGGGAGAAAACCGUGGAAAACCAACCUUUAGGCCUGGGUAACCUUCGGGAACCGGGAGCAAUUACGGGAUAAAAUAUUAACCGGCUGGGUCAAUAAGUGAAAGAGGGUUUUGUUGUAACUAUAAGAUGGAUCCGCGCCGCAUUAGCUAGUUGGUAAGGUAACGGCUUACCAAGGCAACGAUGCGUAGCCGACCUGAGAGGGUGAUCGGCCACACUGGAACUGAGACACGGUCCAGACUCCUACGGGAGGCAGCAGUAGGGAAUCUUCCGCAAUGGGCGAAAGCCUGACGGAGCAACGCCGCGUGAGUGAUGAAGGUCUUCGGAUCGUAAAACUCUGUUAUUAGGGAAGAACAAAUGUGUAAGUAACUAUGCACGUCUUGACGGUACCUAAUCAGAAAGCCACGGCUAACUACGUG
rnacentral:rRNA from 1 species